rnacentral:rRNA from 1 species
CGGACCGGCGCACGGGUGCGUAACGCGUAUGUAACCUACCUAUAACAGGGGCAUAACACUGAGAAAUUGGUACUAAUUCCCCAUAAUAUUCGGAGAGGCAUCUCUCCGGGUUGAAAACUCCGGUGGUUAUAGAUGGACAUGCGUUGUAUUAGCUAGUUGGUGAGGUAACGGCUCACCAAGGCGACGAUCGGUAGCCGGACUGAGAGGUUGAACGGCCACAUUGGGACUGAGACACGGCCCAGACUCCUACGGGAGGCAGCAUG